rnacentral:rRNA from 1 species
GACGAACGCUGGCGGCGUGCCUAAUACAUGCAAGUUGAGCGCUGAAGGUUGGUACUUGUCCCAACUGGAUGAGCAGCGAACGGGUGAGUAACGCGUGGGGAAUCUGCCUUUGAGCGGGGGACAACAUUUGGAAACGAAUGCUAAUACCGCAUAAAAACUUUAAACACAAGUUUUAAGUUUGAAAGAUGCAAUUGCAUCACUCAAAGAUGAUCCCGCGUUGUAUUAGCUAGUUGGUGAGGUAAAGGCUCACCAAGGCGAUGAUACAUAGCCGACCUGAGAGGGUGAUCGGCCACAUUGGGACUGAGACACGGCCCAAACGCCUACGGGAGGCAGCAGUAGGGAAUCUUCGGCAAUGGACGAAAGUCUGACCGAGCAACGCCGCGUGAGUGAAGAAGGUUUUCGGAUCGUAAAACUCUGUUGGUAGAGAAGAACGUUGGUGUGAGUGGAAAGCUCAUCAAGUGACGGUAACUACCCAGAAAGGGACGGCUAACUACGUG